UAUUGGUCAAUGGACGCAAGUCUGAACCAGCCAUGCCGCGUGAAGGAUGAAGGCCUUCUGGGUUGUAAACUUCUUUUAUUGGGGAAGAAAAUUACGGUUUCUACUGUAACCGACGGUACCCAAGGACUAAGCACCGGCUAACUCCGUGCCAGCAGCCGCGGUAAUACGGAGGGUGCAAGCGUUAUCCGGAUUCACUGGGUUUAAAGGGUGUGUAGGCGGGUAGUUAAGUCAGUGGUGAAAUCUCCAGGCUCAACCUGGAAACUGCCAUUGAUACUAUCUAUCUUGAAUUUUGUUGAGGUGAGCGGAAUAUGUCAUGUAGCGGUGAAAUGCUUAGAUAUGACAUAGAACACCAAUUGCGAAGGCAGCUCGCUAAACAAAUAUUGACGCUGAGGCACGAAAGCGUGGGGAUCAAACAG
rnacentral:rRNA from 1 species